AUUGAACGCUGGCGGCAGGCCUAACACAUGCAAGUCGAACGAGUGGCGGACGGGUGAGUAAUGUCUGGGAAACUGCCUGAUGGAGGGGGAUAACUACUGGAAACGGUAGCUAAUACCGCAUACCAUCGGAUGUGCCCAGAUUGGAUUAGCUAGUAGGUGGGGUAAAGGCUCCACUAGGCGACGAUCCCUAGCUGGUCUGAGAGGAUGACCAGACACACUGGAACUGAGAAACGGUCCAGACUCCUACGGGAGGCAGCAGGGGGGAAGAUUGCACAAUGGGCGCAAGCCUGAUGCAGCCAGGGCGCGUGUAUGAAGAAGGCCUUCGGGUUGUAAAGUACUUUCAGCGGGGAGGCGUGACCCGCAGAAGAAGCACCGGCUAACUCCGUGCCAGCAGCCGCGGUAAUAC
rnacentral:rRNA from 1 species